UACAGAGGGUGCAAGCGUUGCUCGGAAUUACUGGGCGUAAAGCGUACGCAGACGGUAAGAAAGGUCGGAUGUGAAAGCCCCGGGCUCAACCCUGGAACUGCAUCCGAAACCAUCUUGCUAGAGUAUGGGAGAGGGAAGCGGAAUUCCUGGUGUAGAGGUGAAAUUCGUAGAUAUCUGGAGGAACACCGGUGGCGAAGGCGACAUCCUGGACCAACACUGACGCUGAGGAGCGAAAGCCAGGGGAGCAAACGGG
rnacentral:rRNA from 1 species